UCGAAAACUUAAAUCACCUUUUCAUAUAUAUAUAUAUAUAUAUAUAGCAUCAAAUCACGUACCAUAACAUCAAAAUUGACGUAUGACAAAAAGAAAAAUCACGACAAAUGUAGACAGCAACAUGAGCAAUAUAUAUACCAAAAGCCAUCAAACCACUGAGAUUUUAUUUAUAUAUCCGUAGAUUUGGGAUAUACCACAAUCGAUUUUAUCAUUAAAAACAUAAUCAUAAUUUAUUUUAAAACUUUCACCAUCUUUACUUUUUUUACCGACAAACAGAGACAAUAAAUCAUCAAAUAAUUUUAAUAUUAAAUUAUAAUUUUGAUAUCUCUAAUAUGCUUAAAUUUUAGAGUAGAUCCCUAUAUUUUAAUUUAUCAUAAUUUGAUGUUUCAUUUUUAAAACAAAUCAGAAACAAUGUCAAACCCUAGGUGCGCCGCACCUAGGGGUUCCUAGCUCUGUCCCCGCACCUAGCCUCUGCCGACGUCGCCGACUUGCACCGCCACGGUCACAUCCGUCCUCACCUGCCCACCUGCAAGAAAUUAAGGCAGAAAUGACAAGCAUAAAAUAGAUUAAAAAAAAUCAUGUAAAAAUGGCUAUAAAGCCAUAGCCAAUCACUUGUACCGGGGUUCUUCCCCCUCUUUCACGAUUUAAAGAAAUAAAAGCAAAGAAAACAGAUUCAAAAAAACCUCUUUUUUUUUGUAUAAGCUCUAUUUUCCCUUUUACUUCUUUUAUUUUUCCCUUUAUUUUUCUUCCUUUCAAAACUGUUUGUUUUCUUUAUUUUUAUUUUUCUUUUAUUUUUAAAAUAUAUGUAUAUAUAUAACGUAUAAACUAUAAACGUAAGAAAAAAAGCAAAAAAUACCUCUUUUGGAUUUUUUCGGCCACCGUGUACGGUGUACGGUGGCCGGUACGGCGGCGCGGCGGCGGGGCAGCUCGCCGGGUCUCUGGCCGGCUUCUAGAAAAUGGGGAGAGGGUGUGAGAGAAUUUCUGGUUUUUUUUUUUGGAAGAAGAGGAGAAAUGAAAAUUUGAGAAAAAAAUUUCUUUUUAUAGAGGGUUGAAACGGCGCCGUUUUGAGCCUUAACCCCAGUGGCCAAAACGACGCCGUUUUGGCCUUAAUGCCCUUUUACCCGCGUGUCGACCCGGAGGAUCCGCGUGUUUUUGAGCUUCGGGUUAUUUAUCCCUUUAGCCCCUCCUCUUUUAAAUAGUUUUACAAUCAAUUGCCUUCUAUUUUUUUAAUUCGCCCAGUAAUUUGUUUCGAUUUGCAAUUUGGUCCUCCGAAGCUACGUCGUUUUAAAGGCCUGGAUAAAUUUACUGUUUUGGUCCCUCCUUUGUUGCGCGUGUCGCAAUUUGAUCCUUGUCGCCUUUUUAUUUUCGAAUCAGCCCUGUUUUUUUAUUUUAUUUCGAUUUAG
rnacentral:lncRNA from 1 species